UACGUAGGGGGCAAGCGUUAUCCGGAUUUACUGGGUGUAAAGGGAGCGUAGACGGCAAUACAAGUCGGAAGUGAAAUACCCGGGCUUAACCUGGGAACUGCUUUGGAAACUGUAUGGCUGGAGUGCUGGAGAGGUAAGCGGAAUUCCUAGUGUAGCGGUGAAAUGCGUAGAUAUUAGGAGGAACACCAGUGGCGAAGGCGGCUUACUGGACAGUAACUGACACUGAGGCUCGAAAGCGUGGGGAGCAAACAGG
rnacentral:rRNA from 1 species